AGCGGGUCUGCGAAUGGCUCAUUAAAUUCAGUUAUCACCUGCCCGGUUGAGCUUUGGGACCUUGUGUCAAUCUGCCGAGCCUCAUGGAUAACCGUUCCAAAUGGAUGGCUAAUACAUGUGAGAUAGACGCCUAGUCGGGUUGGCUUGCCAACAGCUGUGGUUCAUGCGGGCAACCAAUUGGAUUGCAGUAUGACGGGCGUACGGUGAACCGAUACGAAGAGUAGCGCUCUUCAUUGAGCAGCUUGCAUUGGUGAUUCAGGUUCAUUGUGUUGUCUGGUGAAAGCAGAGUGGCCGCUGUGUGUCGCUGCGAUACCGGAUGGAUUCCUGUCCUAUCAUGCUGACGAUUGUGGUGUAUUGGACUACAAUUGCCCUUACGGGUAACGGGGAAUUUGGGUUUGAUUCCGGAGAGGGGGUCUGAAAAACGGCCACCACGGUCAAGGCCGGCAGCAGGCGCGUAAAUUGCCCAUUGCAAACUCUUGUGUGAGGCAGCGACGAAGAAUGGCAGCAGUGCAUACCCUAGUGGUACGUGCUGCUCGCAAUGGAUGAUAUCCAAAAAGCUCAGUGAGUAUCUACCAGAGGGCAAGUCUGGUGCCAGCAGCCGCGGUAAUUCCAGCUCUAGCAGUGUAUACAAAUAUUGCUGCUGUUGAAACGCUCGUAGUCGAUUGCAGAGUGGUGGGCGUUAUCCAACUCUGGCGCUCUGCUUCGGUGGACACCAGAGGGGUUGCUUGGCUUGCCUUGCUGCCCAGGUUAACAGACCUUCUGCUCGCCUCACAUGGGAAUGGUACCUCUUGCUGACACACUCUUCGGUGAUUGUGCUGGCUGCUUCCGCGUCGAAAGCACGCAUGGAGUCUUGCCCGGGGCGCCCAUGGCUCUCACUGUGAACAAAACAGCGCGUCCAUAGCGGCCGACUUGCUCGGUUGUAUGACAAAGCACAGGAUGAGAAGGGAUCGACCAGCAUUCUGAUUGUUCUGCCACUCUUCGACAGUUGUUGGGUAAUGCGGGGUGGACACUGUUUCAUCGUUGACCCGUAAGUCCCCAGAGGGGUUGGGGAGACUUGAAUCAGCUGAACACCACUGAUCGGAAAUGAUGAGCGUACUCUGGGCCCUAUGUACUGUCAGGCUAGAGGUGAAAUUCUUGGACCCUGGCAUGACAAACUGCAGCGAAGGCGUUCCCUGGCAAGUGCAUGGCUGUCGAUCAAGAACGAGAGUGUGGGGAUCGAAGAUGAUCAGAUACCGUCGUAGUCCAUUUCCAGUAAACGUUGCCGGCUCGGUAUGGGACGUGCCAUUCUUUCUGGUUGUCAAGUUCCGUGCCAUCCCCCAUUAUCGAGAAAUCACAAGCUUAUGGGUUCAGGGGGGAGUACACUCGCAAGCGUGAAACUUGAAGGAAUUGACGGAAUGACAC
rnacentral:rRNA from 1 species